AUGGCAUCACGAGGGUUAUACUGUCUCCCUACUCCAAUCAGUGAAACUGAUUCUUCCGUGAAAAAGCAGGAAUGCUUUCAUAAGACGAGAAGACCCCAUGGAGCUUUAAGCCCAGCAACAAUCUCACACCUACAAUUCCUUAGACUUCAGGAGAAUCUGCCCGCUGGCUUUAGGUUGGGGCGACCACGAAGUAUAACUUAACCUUCAUGACAAAUGGAAUUUUCCUUAUUAGAGCCACCACUCCAAGAAUUAAUAAUUUAAUGUAAUAUGACCCGAUUUAUUCGAUCAACGGACCAAGUUACCCUGGGGAUAACAGCGCAAUCCAUUUCAAGAGUUCCUAUCGACAAAUGGGUUUACGACCUCGAUGUUGGAUCAGGGUAUCCUAGUGGUGCAGCCGCUACUAACGGUUCGUUUGUUCAACGAUUAAAACC
rnacentral:rRNA from 1 species